ACAGUAAAUAGAAUGGACGCCAAAUCAACGCUAUUUGCCAUUCAACGCUUUGAAGCCAGAUUUGGGAACAUUCCACCUUACAUUCCACCUUAGCAACGCCAACGCAGGUGCUGAUUGGACAACAAAACACCCAAUCAGAGAAUGCUCAGUUCAAGUCAUGUCCCGCCCCUCCCACGAUGGCAAUAACAAGGGUGAAAAAUUAAUAUCACGCUGCGAGGGUGCUACUGAACCAACCCACUUUUCGGCUGUGCGACUGAUGGGUGUGUGGCGAUCAUGAAGAUGGAACCUGCCAGCGAGCUCCAGCCCUUUAUCCUCCAUUUUAAUAAGUCAUUUACAUUUCAUUAAACGUACCUGAUGUCUCAACCAAUAUGACUUAAGUAAUACAUAGUACUGCUUUCAAUCCCUGAAGCAAUGUGGUGACCAACAACACAAGAAGAACCCCCAUAUACAUGUACGUCAUGAGUCGUGUUGACGUUUAACUUGUUUCUUUUUUAAAUAAACACUUACUAUUAUCAUC